UUCCAUAACAUUCUAUACCACUUUGUAAACUCUAUGGUGAUAAUGUAACCAAGUUUCAGGAACAGUUACGCAAACAAAGUUUACGAAUAUCACAUAUGAACUCAGUUCAGUGGCGGGUUGAUUAUGUUAUCAGUUCGAAAUCACUAAAGACAGUAAACAAACCAAAUGUACAGAUAUGUUUAAAAGUUGUAAACCCAGACACAGGAAACGCAAAACCAGUUGUAUUUAAUAUGUCUGCAGAAAAAUUUCGUGUUUUUCUAAAUGAACUAAAACAAGUUGAUACCAUAAUGGACAACCUGAAUUCAUCAUAACAAAUAAUGUACAGCUGUCUUCUUGGCAAAUGAAUUCUCUGCAGAAACAGUUCAGACUUGGUGCUCUUAGGAAAACCCUGAAUAGAUACCACAAACUCUUUUCCUUUCCCCAAUCUCAAUAGGCUUAAUUCAGAAAUCAUCUGAUUCACAGUUGUAUCUUUUUCCUGUCCUUAGGUAAGGCAUGAAUUUCACAACUUUUGUAUGGUUAAGGCUGACCAAUGAUUACAGAAUCUAUUUGGCAUAUUUAGUAGAGAUUAUU